rnacentral:rRNA from 1 species
UACGUAGGGUGCAAGCGUUGUCCGGAAUUAUUGGGCGUAAAGAGCGUGUAGGCGGUCCGGUAAGUCAGCUGUGAAAGUCAAGGGCUCAACCCUUGAAAGCCGGUUGAUACUGUCGGGCUAGAGUCCGGAAGAGGCGAGUGGAAUUCCCGGCGUAGCGGUGAAAUGCGCAGAUAUCGGGAGGAACACCAAUGGCGAAGGCAGCUCGCUGGGACGGUACUGACGCUGAGACGCGAAAGCGUGGGGAGCAAACAGG